AGCCACAUCCAUGCUAUCUCCUAAAGCAGUCAUUCUGAAACCCAAUCUGGGGACAGUGCAGACUAAAUAAAAUUUCAUUUUGAUUUGGCCUCCCGCUGCGAAUGGGACUGCUUUGUCUCAGCCGACAGAACCAGCAAGCCAGAAAGGGAAUGAAGACAUUUGGAGAAGAAGCGUUUACUGAAAGGAGAUUCCUGGGCUGGAGGAAAACCAUGAUCUACAGUUCAUGUUGACAGAUAUUGUAUUUUUGGUCCUAGAUCUGACUUUUGAAAUGACUUAUCACAAAUUCAAAUUUAGCAAUCAUGAGUGAAGUACCCACGAUGUGCUAAGCAUCUACCUCUGCAGAUAGAAGAACACUUACUGUUCCUGAGCAUGGGAGGGAAUAGAAGUUCCUGGGUCCUGGCCUCACCUCAUCAGGCACUGCCAAAUUUGACACCUCCUUCCUGUUCACGGCAGUCCUUUGCGAUAGGGUAUUAGAUGCCACCAAGUAGCUGCAUAACUCACCCAUUUGGUCAGAGCCUGGGUCUAAGCCAGGUCUGACAGACUCCAAAGCAAGCCCUGUUUACAGCAUGACUGGGAUCCAGUGGACGAGGGAACUGAGCUGUCAAAACUAAGUGACUUGAUUGAGGCCAUGCAGCUGGCGAGGGGAGGACCAGGAUCUGAACCCAACUGGGUCUCCCAAGCCUGGGCCACUGAACCAUUUCACCUCUUGGAAAAACUUAAUGGUCAGAGUGGCCCACCCAGUCCAUGGACAGCAUGGAGCCCUCUGACCAAGAAUCUGCGGAGGUCAUCCCUCACCUCCAGAGUUGGUCUUGUCCCUAGCACCCACGUGUGCUCUGUGGCUCAGAAUGGUCUACAGGAUCUUCCAAAUCCAAGCACAGGGAUAAACUGCUUCCCUAGAAAUCCUCUCCAGCAUUCUUGCCACCACGACUUUGGGACACAUUGACCAUGAGGAGGAGCUGGUCAAUGAUGGACAGGAGUCCAGAUUAGCAGAGAUGUGGUAAUAAGGACACCGAUGCCUAAAUACUUGAAAUAUCCAAUAGGAAGCAUUCCACCUUUGUGCAAAUGCGAACCACAUCUCACCAAGUUCAGGCCAAGGCUGCCACCGGUGACGUUUUGGAAAAGAAAAAAAAAAGCGGGGGGAGAGGAGAGAAACAGAGAAGCAAGGAAUGCAGAAGAGAGCAGAGGCCACAAAAACAGCAGCAACGUGUCCUGUGUAUUCUGUUUCCUUGUAAAACUAUGAAGCAUGUUAAGGAGAUACUUCAUUUUUUGAGGAUUCAUACUCUUGUUUAUAUUAUAAUAAAAACAACCCAUGUUCUUUCUAAAAAUUUAGGCAAUGCCUUCGUGCACAUAAAAGUAAAACAAAAUCACCUGUAAUCCUACCACACGCAGAUCAGCACUUGCUAAUCUUUUCACAGGGAUCCUAAGAAUAUCCUAUUCUCUAUAGAAUAUAGUUGAUUUAUGUUACCUAAUAACUAACUGUUAACCAUUUUAAAAUUCUUCAGUUUUACAUUAUGCUAGAAAAAAGGAGCCGUCACUCUACGUGACAUUUCUGUAUAUUGGUUUAUUCAUUCAAUAAACAUUUUUUAAGUAC
rnacentral:lncRNA from 1 species